UACGAAGGGGGCUAGCGUUGUUCGGAAUUACUGGGCGUAAAGCGCGCGCAGGCGGCCAUUCAAGUCAGGGGUGAAAGCCCAGAGCUCAACUCUGGAACUGCCCUUGAAACUGCAUGGCUUGAGUACGAGAGAGGUGAGUGGAAUUCCCAGUGUAGAGGUGAAAUUCGUAGAUAUUGGGAAGAACACCGGUGGCGAAGGCGGCGACCUGGUCCGAUACUGACGCUGAGGCGCGAAAGCGUGGGGAGCAAACAGG
rnacentral:rRNA from 1 species